UCAGGAUGAACGCUAGCUACAGGCUUAACACAUGCAAGUCGAGGGGCGAGCAUGUGGUUGCUUGCACCAAUGAUGGCGACCGGCGCACGGGUGAGUAACGCGUAUCCAACUCCCCUAGUAGAGGAUAGCCGGCGAAAGUCGGAUUAAUACUCUAUGUUCUUCAAUGCGGACAUCUAAGUUGAAGCAAAGAUUUAUCGCUAAGGGAUGGGGAUGCGUCUGAUUAGGUUGCAGGCGGGGUAACGGCCCACCUGGCCUACGAUCAGUAGGGGUUCUGAGAGGAAGGUCCCCCCACACUGGUACUGAGACACGGACCAGACUCCUACGGGAGGCAGCAGUGAGGAAUAUUGGUCAAUGGGCGCGAGCCUGAACCAGCCAAGUAGCGUGCAGGACGAACCUGCCCUAUGGGUUGUAAACUGCUUUUAUCAGGGAAUAAAGUGAGGCACGCGUGCCUUUUUGUAUGUACCUGAUGAAUAAGGACCGGCUAAUUCCGUGCCAGCAGCUGC
rnacentral:rRNA from 1 species